GACGAAAGUUGGCGGCGUGCCUAACACAUGCAAGUUGAACGGAGUGGCGAACGGGUGAGUAACACGUGGGUGAUCUGCCUUGCACUUCGGGAUACGCUUGGGAAACUGGGCCUAAUACCGGAUAGUGCAAGAUGAGCUCGCUGCCUAUCAGCUUGUUGGUGGGGUAAUGGCCUACCAAGGCGUCGACGGGUAGCAGGCCUGGGCGGGUGGACGGACACAUUGGGACUGGGGUGCUGCCCUGGCUCCUUCGUGAGGAAGCUGAGAGGAAUAUAGCACAAUGGGCGGAAGACUGUUGCAGCGACGCCGCGUGGAGGAUGAAGGCCUUCGUGUUGUAGUCUCCUUUCGACAGGUACGCGGUACCUGUAUAAGGAGCACCGGCUAACUAGGUGCCAGCCGCCGCGGUAAUAC
rnacentral:rRNA from 1 species